rnacentral:misc_RNA from 1 species
CACGUGGGGGGCGAGCGUUGUCCGGAAUUAUUGGGCGUAAAGGGCGCGCAGGCGGCCGGUUCAGUCUGAUGUGAAAGACCCAUGCUCAACGUGGGAGUGGCAUUGGAAACUGACGAACUUGAGUGCAGGAGAGGGGAGUGGAAUUCCCGGUGUAGCGGUGAAAUGCGUAGAGAUCGGGAGGAACACCCGUGGCGAAGGCGGCUCUCUGGCCUGCAACUGACGCUGAGGCGCGAAAGCGUGGGGAGCGAACAGG